GACGAACGCUGGCGGCGUGCUUAACACAUGCAAGUCGAACGGAAAGGCCCUGCUUUUGUGGGGUGCUCGAGUGGCGAACGGGUGAGUAACACGUGAGUAACCUGCCCUUGACUUUGGGAUAACUUCAGGAAACUGGGGCUAAUACCGGAUAGGAGCUCCUGCUGCAUGGUGGGGGUUGGAAAGUUUCGGCGGUUGGGGAUGGACUCGCGGCUUAUCAGCUUGUUGGUGGGGUAGUGGCUUACCAAGGCUUUGACGGGUAGCCGGCCUGAGAGGGUGACCGGCCACAUUGGGACUGAGAGACGGCCCAGAGUCCUACGGGAGGCAGCAGGGGGGAAUAUUGCACAAUGGGCGGAAGCCUGAUGCAGCAACUCCGCGUGCGGGAUGACGGCCUUCGGGUUGUAAACCGCUUUCGCCUGUGACGAAGCGUGAGUGACGGUAAUGGGUAAAGAAGCACCGGCUAACUACGUG
rnacentral:rRNA from 1 species